AGCAGUGGGGAAUAUUGCACAAUGGGCGCAAGCCUGAUGCAGCGACGCCGCGUGAGGGAUGACGGCCUUCGGGUUGUAAACCUCUUUCAGUAGGGAAGAAGCGAAAGUGACGGUACCUGCAGAAGAAGCGCCGGCUAACUACGUGCCAGCAGCCGCGGUAAUACGUAGGGCGCAAGCGUUAUCCGGAAUUAUUGGGCGUAAAGAGCUCGUAGGCGGUUUGUCGCGUCUGCUGUGAAAGACCGGGGCUCAACUCCGGUUCUGCAGUGGGUACGGGCAGACUAGAGUGCAGUAGGGGAGACUGGAAUUCCUGGUGUAGCGGUGAAAUGCGCAGAUAUCAGGAGGAACACCGAUGGCGAAAGCAGGUCUCUGGGCUGUAACUGACGCUGAGG
rnacentral:rRNA from 1 species